rnacentral:lncRNA from 1 species
UGCAUCUGUAUAAGUGUAUGUGUGUCAAAGUGGGGCAAUGAAGUUGAUGCUGUCUUUUCCUAUCAUAUCUGCAUUAUUUCCUUAUCUAAUAUUGCCUUAAUGACAGAGCCUCUCAUUGUACCUUAAGCAUGCCUGUUCUACUAGUCUAGCGGGCUAGUGAGUUCCAGGAAUUUGCCUGCCUGUGCUUCCUCACAGUAUGAUUGUAGGCUGUUGCCUACAGUUCUAGGCUGUUGCCUACAGUGGGAUUAUAGCUGUUACUUGGCUUUUUAACUUGUGUCCUGGGGACCUAAACUCAGGUCCUGAUACUUGGGCAGCAGAUGCCUUCCUGACAGCUCUAUUCCCAGCACAUUUAAACGAAUUCAUUCAUCGUUUCCUUGAGUAUCAGCAUUAACUCUAGGAAGACUUCAUGUCCUCUAAGAAACUGCAUUUGAAGAGCAGAGCUAUGCCAGCUGAAAGUUUUAGUAGCCACUGAUAAAAUGUAGGAAGUGAUAGUCCUGGUGCUGACUGAGUCUCUGUAAGGAGGGUGGCUCUGAAGAAUGAAGGUAUAGUUGGGCAUGGUGGUGCUCCAGAGGCUGGUCCAGUCCAUACCUUCAGUUCCAGGCUAAUUAGGACUCCAUGGUGAGACUCUCUUUCAAAGACCACAACCAAAAGCAAGGUAUCCCGAGGAUUUAAGAUUUACUGCAGAGUGAGUGUUGUGAUAAAGAAAAGUUCUCCUUUUGGAGGUCACUGUGACAUUCCUUGGGGUCACAGCCCAGCUUUGCCACUUGUUGGCUGUGUGACAUGUUAAAGUCAUUGUUUCCCUGUGUAUAAAAUAGUAGUCUACUCUUCUUAGGCUUGUGAGGACUAAUGAUUUAUUAAACUGCUAUGACAGUGCAUAGCAUGCAGCAAACUGUGUAAUAGGUUGUUCAUUUUUUGAGAGCUAAUGUAACAGAAUUCUUCCUUAGGGAAGACAGUGUUUGAUUGGGUAUGGAGAGUUAGAGACUUGUUUCUGAUAUU